GUCUGUACUUUGCUGUCAACUUGACAAUGUGCAUGUGAAAUGAUGCAUCACUACGCAUGCUGAUGCCCAGGUCUCUCACUGUUUGUGGUUCUGGGAUUGUAGAACCUCCAGGUCCUGUGUAUGCCAGUUGGGGGGGGGGGGGGCACUUGUGGCCUUGAGAUCGGAAGAGCAUC